GACGGUAAGGACGAUCUGGUGAAGUCAUCCUCAAAGUGGACAUAGGCGGGUUCGAUUCUCGCUACCGACG
rnacentral:tRNA from 4 species